CCUACGGGGGGCAGCAGUGGGGAAUAUUGCGCAAUGGGCGAAAGCCUGACGCAGCGACGCCGCGUGAGGGAUGAAGGUCUUCGGAUCGUAAACCUCUGUCAGCAGGGAAGAACGGUCACUGUGCUAAUCAGCAGUGAAUUGACGGUACCUGCAAAGGAAGCACCGGCUAACUCCGUGCCAGCAGCCGCGGUAAUACGGAGGGUGCGAGCGUUAAUCGGAAUUACUGGGCGUAAAGCGCUCGUAGGCGGUAUGUCAAGUCAAGGGUGAAAUCCCCGCGCUCAACGUGGGAACUGCCUUUGAAACUGGCAAACUGGAGUGUGUGAGAGGAUAGUGGAAUUCCAGGUGUAGGAGUGAAAUGCGUAGAUAUCUGGAGGAACAGCAGUGGCGAAGGCGACUAUCUGGCACAUAACUGACGCUGAGGAGCGAAAGCGUGGGUAGCAAACAGGAUUAGAUACCCUAGUAGUC
rnacentral:rRNA from 1 species